rnacentral:lncRNA from 1 species
AUAGUUUGUGUUUAGCAGGCUCUGUGGUCUCUGUCACACUACUCCAUUCUGCCAUGGUAGCAGAAAGCAGCCAGUGACAAGUAAAUGUGUGUGCCUGGGUACCAGUUCAACUUCCUUUCAGGAUGCUGAAAUCUGAAAAUUAUGAUUAUCACGUGCCACUAAAUAUUAAGCUGCUUUGACUUUUAAAAAUUCACUUAAAAGUAUGAUUUUUUAGCCAAUGGGCCAUACAGAAACAGGUGGCAGGCCAGAUUCAGCUGGGUCAUGGUUUGCUGACCCCUGGUUUAGAGGAUAUGUAAAACUUUUUAUCACUUUGAGAAUUUUUAAAAUUUUAUUCCAUGAACAUAUAAGUACUGAUAAAUCAUACGCACAUACCCUCUGCUAGUAGCAUGAGAGCGGCAUCACAAAUGUUUAAUUACAAUAGUAGGAAGGCGGUGUAAAAAUGCAGUAUCCAGGCAUACAGCUUAAAUUCUACUUGUAGCUCUGUAAAGGGUCUAAGCGUUUUAUUGAGAUCUAAUUUUGACUUUUGAGAAAUUCUCCUACCAGUGAUAAAGAUGAUGCUCUUUAAGACACAGGUGGGGACCCUAUGCCUUUUAAAGUCUCUGCUUAGUUGAAACGGAACCUAAACAUUAAGGUACAGGAUUCUUAAAUUAUUUCGAAACAGAGUUUGAAAUUGUUUCAUCGUCUUUAGCAGGGAUAAAGUAAUACAUGAUUUUCUCUUAUGCCUUUCAGUUAACAGCCUUUAUUAGGAAUUUCAUUGAAUUUAUGGGGCAUAGAAAUAGGUAUUUACUACCCAUUCAUAUCUACUGUUGAUAUCUGGUCGUGCAUCAACCAUCAUUUCUAUUAUGUCUAUUUUCGUAAUUCUCAUAUUAUUUUCAUUCAUAUCUGCAUGUGGCAAAGAGCCUGUCUUCUCAAGAUUCUAAAAAGCUGGUUCUCUGCCACCUACUGCCACUGCGCUGGCCCCCUUGGCCACAGUAUCUUACUUGUUAUUUCCAAGUCCUUCACUGUACAGACACUCAGGUAUUGACUGUAGACCAUUCUUUUCCUGUGAUAGCAUGAUCUGUAAUCUCAAUCUUUUCAACUCUCAAUGAAUGUUUCUAGAGUUAAUAGGUUAAAUUAUACGCAGUCACAUACACAGAUAUGCCUUGGAGCCUUUAUGUUUUUAAAAUUGAAAAUGGAAUCAUGGGUUAUGAUUUAAAGGUAAAGAGAGUAAAUAAAAGUAGGCGGAAUCACAACCAGAAAUAAGUAUCAGUGCAUUGAAAUAAAGGAAUGAAAAAUAUUUAAUGUUAAAAAUUAGUAAUAUAAUGAAAAAAAUCUGAUAAGUUUGUCUCCUUUUUUGUUACAUACUGCUGUUGAGUUUUGUACACUAUAAUUACGUGUUGCUAGUGCUUCUUGGUCUCUAGAUUCUUUGUGGCCCUUAGUAUAGUAGUUGCAUUGCUGACACCCUGACUACCCUCUGCUGGAACAGAGGCAGUCUUUCUAGUGCACCGGUCCCUUAGUCUACAGCACCCUCAGUUUAAGCACCCUUGCUAGCAUCUGGCAUCCUACUAAAUUAGAGCCUCUUAAGGCAUAUUGAUUUUCUUUCAAAGACCAACUUGACUCCAGAAAGUGAUUCAGAAUCCUACUUCACUUGCUGCUGCAUAAAGAUAUCUUAACCUUCAUUUUAUUUUCACACAGGCCAGAAUGUUCCUGCCUCUGAGUUGUCUGUGAGCUAAUUCUGCAGAUGCUCAGUGAGGAAUUAAAGCAUUUGCUGUAGAACACAUGGGCCUGAAGCCCAUCUUCUUUCUCAUGGUGAGGCAUAUGUCGUGGCAGUACUUGAUAUGGUCACUUUUUUGAAACAAGCUUGUUCAAAUUGUGCUUUUGUUUGAAGUUCUAAUCUUAUAGAUUUGUGAGCAUGGUUCUUUUUUUUUUUUUCAUAUUGAUUGUGUGUAGAAGUAAGUCGUGGUCAUAGGCUAGAGACAGACAAAAGCUGCUUUUCCGUGGCAAUGUUACCAACAGAUAAGGUAUUUAUGAACAUUGAGAAAAUCAGGACAUGUGCUCUAAAUCGCAUGGAAUAUUAAUGACACUAGAAGGGAAUGCCAGUCAUCAGAAAAGGAUUACAUUUGAAAUUGUAACAGCAUUGUAAUAAUGAAACUUAACUUUUCAGAGAUGUAGUGAAGAUAUGUUAGAAUUGCCACGUCUACAUCUUUAAACACACAACCUGGGUGCCCUAAUCACUGCCGAUGGUAUAAUCAGUAAGAAUGAGAUUGACGAGUCUGUCAAUCAUCUCAUCUGUUAUAUGAAAAUGUCAAGUACAGAACUUUUAUGUACUUAUCAAGUGUCUCUUUUGUUGUGCCGUAACUCUGCCAACUUGGUAGAAACAACUUGGUAGCCUUCAGUCAGGAAACAGUCUUUAAAGUUUGUGAAGUACGAGGAAGUGCCAUUUCUCCUCGUUUGAUGGGAGUGGUUUUACCAGUUGUGUUGGCUCUCUGGACUUGGCACUGUGAAUGAGCAUAACCAGGCUUCUUAACAGUGGCUCACCUGCUAGCUCUUUCAGGAAUGAUGAGGGUUUUUUAAUGCACCUUACAAUUCCAAACCAUCCAGGUUCCAAAGAAGAAAAAUAAAGAGACAUAAUGAUUUUUGUUUUAUUCCUAUUCUGCGAUAAUUGACUUGACAUACCAGUGGCAUGCCCUCUGAAAAUCCUUCACGAUGUAAGGAAAAUAAAUCUGACGCUGCGAAGAAAGUGCCUAUUAGCCUGUGAAGAAAGUACCUGUUAACCUCCUUAGCCCCAGCCUCAUCUUCAGAUCUGGCUGUGUCUGAUGUGCAAAGGAUACCAUUUAUAUGGAUGCUGGAUUAGAAGAGUCCCUAAGAGCCUUUCUUCAAACAACUUCAAUUUCUAGUAUGCCCCCCAUUAUGUAUCUGGGAUGCCUUAAUCAAUAUUUAGAACCCCAACUUGAUUGGUACUUCAUUAACCAACGCUUAGAGGCAGACCAAUUUAGAAACAGAUUUUGUGCUUUGGUUUUAUAUUUGUAGUUUGCAGCUGUUAUUAUGACCUAACAUCCCAGGGUUGGAGUCAAAAGUCAUAUCUCCUGGUAAAGAAAAAAAAGGCAGAGACUUGACUCUUUACUAAAGGUUUCCCACUUAAGGUAAAAUUGCUAUUUACUUUUGCCUCCACCUUGGUUACCUUCCAAAAUCAAACACUUCUUACAGAUAAGUAGUCUGUUGAAUAGUCUUCUGAAGAGUCUGAUUCUUGCCUCUCUCUUGUUGAUCCACAGACAUAAUUCAGGUAUUUAUCAAGGAGCCUCACAUCUCCUGACCCUAGUCACUGUAUCCAUCCUUUGUCACAAGUAUCUCCCUGCCUCCAAUCUGUGAGGUAGCAACUCUUGGAUAAAUUCAGGCUUAUGAAUGACAUGGACUUUUAGAGGAUCAGGUAAAUAAAUAGGGUUUUUCACUUUUUUAGGGCAGUUGAAUUCACUGUUUUGAAUAAGGAAUCUCAAGUAAGUUGACAGCCCUACAGCAAGCCAUAGGCAGAAAAGUGAUCUGCGUAUUUUAGACCAAAGUUUAGAAGCUGUUGCAUGACUUAAGGAGCUGAACAGGUCAUCCUUUCUCUCCUUGGCACCCGGAAGAGAGAGAUGUCAAGUUCAGAGGCAAAACAUUACAUUCUUGGUGCCACAGGGAGAAAUGGAGGCUGUGUGCCACUGAAGAGUCUCAAAAGGCAGGGGCCACUUGCAGUUAUUAGAGACAUAAAUAUCCUCCAUCCGCCAAGAUGUUCACAUUCAGGGCCACGUGAGGACCUUAAAUGCUGGAGGGAGUGCUUCCUCACCUUAAUUAGAUGAUUACCUUCUCCCCUUUGUACCACCCCUUGGCAGUGUUUCUCGUGAUCUUUGUCCUUCCAAGGUUAACAGCAGCCCAACUUUGCCUUUGACCCCACUGUCUGUUAGAUUAAAAGUGUGCAUUGUUUUUUCUAUGGCAGUGAGUUCGAGAUUUCAUAUCUGCCUCUGUGUCUUCCAUCAUGAUUUAUUCUUAAAAGCCAAGAUAUCAUCACACAUGGAAGGCCGUGAUUUCAAGAGUGUUCUCUUUGAACUCUGAGCUGAAACUUCUACAGAUAAAUAAGGAGUGUGGCAGGGAAGAUGACUGUCUUGUUUUUUGUUUUAAUUCAGAAUCCUAUUUAUAUACUGUUAAAAUUUGAGGUACUAUAGUUUAUGUAAAAGUUGAAUAUUUAGAUGAUAUAUUUCAGUACUAGGAAUUUGUCUGCGGCCAUUAACGUAACAAAUUAAGUAAUAAAUGUGAUGAAAAUGAUUGUCAGUAAAUUAUCAUAUUGAAUUUUUUGUUUAUUUUGUAGUGUUUUUGUAUUUAUCUGCACUUUGUGUAUAUAUACACACAUACGUAUACGAACAUGUAAAUAACCUCAUGUUAUUCCUUAUCUCAAUUGCCACAUUAUCUUUAAUGUAUGUUUACACUGUAUUUUAAAUUACUUUAAAAAUAAACUAUGAAACACAAUUUAGUCUUGGUACUUGAAAAUCCACUGUGUUAGAGGUCAACUGUCCUGGAUUCAUACAGAGAAAAACCAAAGUUUCAGGCACUGUAAGUGGUCAUUUUGGGCGUGGCUGAGUGGAAAAUCGAAGCAGAAUUGGUCAUCUUUUCCUGACAAAUGGACCUUUUUUCAAGAAAUUGGCAUUAUGAAAGAUCAAGAAAAUUUUAAUGUUGGUACGUCUUAAUAAUGCAGAUGUCAACAGGAAAGAAAAGCAAACAGACCAUAAACAAAUGAUCAAGAACACAGAUUUUUUGGCUUACCUGAAAAUAAAAGUCUACAAAAGUUUACAGGUAUGUUCUGGAAGAAGUAUCAGCAUACAGAUAAUCCGCUUAGACUUUUUUGGUCACUGUUUGACUACUAAAUAAAAUUUUGCUUGUCCUCAU